UCGGACUGUAGUCUGCAACCCGACUACACGAAGCUGGAUCGCUAGUAAUCGCGGAUCAGCAUGCCGCGGUGAAUACGUUCCCGGGUCUUGUACACACCGCCCGUCACACCAUGGGAGUUGGAAAUGCCCGAAGUCAGUGACCCAACCGGAAACGGAGGGAGCUGCCGAAGGCAGGUCUGAUAACUGGGGUGAAGUCGUAACAAGGUACC
rnacentral:rRNA from 1 species